UACAGAGGGGGCAAGCGUUAUUCGGAAUUAUUGGGCGUAAAGGGCGCGUAGGCGGCCUGGCAAGUGGAUGGUGAAAUCCCUCGGCUUAACCGAGGAACUGCCAUCCAGACUGCUUGGCUUGAGACCGGGAGAGGUGAGUGGAAUUCCCAGUGUAGCGGUGAACUGCGUAGAUAUUGGGAGGAACACCAGUGGCGAAGGCGGCUCACUGGACCGGAACUGACGCUGAGGCGCGAAAGCGUGGGGAGCAAACGGG
rnacentral:rRNA from 1 species